rnacentral:rRNA from 1 species
UACGUAGGGUCCGAGCGUUGUCCGGAAUUAUUGGGCGUAAAGGGCUCGUAGGCGGUUUGUCGCGUCGGGAGUGAAAACUCAGGGCUCAACCCUGAGCGUGCUUCCGAUACGGGCAGACUAGAGGUAUGCAGGGGAGAGCGGAAUUCCUGGUGUAGCGGUGGAAUGCGCAGAUAUCAGGAGGAACACCGGUGGCGAAGGUGGUUCUCUGGGCAUUACCUGACGCUGAGGAGCGAAAGCAUGGGGAGCGAACAGG